rnacentral:rRNA from 1 species
AUUGAACGCUGGCGGCAGGCCUAACACAUGCAAGUCGAGCGGAGCGGCGGACGGGUGAGUAAUGCCUAGGAAUCUGCCUGGUAGUGGGGGAUAACGUCCGGAAACGGGCGCUAAUACGGCAUACUAGCAGCUGAGCCUGGGUCGGAUUAGCGGGUGGGGGGGGUAAGGGCCUACAAAGGCGCAGCUCCGGAACUGGUCUGAGAGGAUGAUCAGUCACACUGGAACUGAGACACGUUCCAGACGCCUACGGGAGGCAGCAGUGGGGAAUAUGGGACAAUGGGCGAAAGCCUGAUCCAGCCAUGCCGCGUGUGUGAAGAAGGUCUUCGGAUUGUAAAGCACUUUAAGUUGGGAGGCGUUACCAACAGAAUAAGCACCGGCUAACUUCGUGCCAGCAGCCGCGGUAAUAC